rnacentral:tRNA from 1 species
NNGGGUAUGGCGGAAUUGGCAGACGCGCUAGACUUAGGAUCUAGUGUCAUAGACGUGCAGGUUCAACUCCUGUUACCCGCA